UAUAGGAAUGUAGUGAUAGUAACAACUAACACUUUAAAAACCAUAUAACGGCUUACAAAGCGCCAUUUGUGCAAACUGACUUACUGCAUUUACUUUCUCUCCUGCUUGCAGGUUCUCUGCGCUCCAGAACCACAGGUGACCCUGCGGAGAUGACCGUCCUCGAGGUCAGCAACGUGCUACCAAUUUCACCUGAUCACUGUGUGCAGAAUCCGGAAAGCCUAGGUGUGGUCCCCAAGGGUAAUCUCCAAAGGGUGCGUCUUCCGUGGCCCAGCUCGGAUUUCAACCCCGCGUACUUGCUCGUAGCGCCCCAGCCUCCACGUCACGUUCUUUACGAGUUAACGGUGCAUUUACUGAAAGCAGAGUUAGCCCUCUGUUAGGACACACGUGUGACAGUGGGUUUCUGCCUGGCGCGAUUCGAUAUACUGGCUAUUAAGCCACCGAAAGACGGCUGAGGUCUAGACUCGCUUGCUGACGGACGCUGGCAGUGCAUUUGGGAUGUGUUCAGAUGCAAGGAAACAUGACGUCCACUCAGUUCUGUCCCAGAUGCACCGAAGAAUUUGAGACCGGAGCCCAGCAUGGGGAGGGAGAGUUGACUGAGUAGAGGGAGAACUCGACGCCAAUGUCCUAUUCGACAGAGACCGCAGCAACCUGUAUGCCUCG